AUCGCUGCUGAUGACCGCUGCUGCUGAUCUGGGGCCGCGAGAGCGACGAGAGCCGCCUUCCGAGAGCCGCUAUCAGUCCUUGUAUACACCUGUCUACCUGUCUACGCACGCACGAUGAUGUAAAAUCGAAACAGGCGACUGACGCGACACGCGAUAUCAUCUAGCAACACCGAUACCGAUUCCGCUCUUAUGGACCAUGGACCGAUUAUUACUUGUUUUAACAGAAGAAGUUUGCUACCAUUGUCAGCGAUAUAAGAUAUUCCACUCUCGCAAGUUGCUCGUACGAGAGAGAAAAAGUCGUCAAGAAUGGAUACUCCGCAAGUCGAUAUGAUAUGUCCCAAUUGUAAAACUAAUGUUACAUUAAUUCGAGAUGUGCCUCCUGAAAAUAAAUCCUCAAUGGAAGUAACAAUUUCAAUAUAUACAAAUGGACAACAACAUGUGAAAAUAAUCUGCCCGAAAUGUCAUCAAAACAUUACUUAUGGUUCAUAAGUCUCACUCUUUUAUUUGGAAAAGUCAUAAUAUGGAUAUAUCUAUUAAUUUUUGACUAAAUAAAUUAAAGAAGAAGAAGACUUGUUCUAGCUGGACACACCAGUGAUGUACACAUAUAUACAUA